rnacentral:rRNA from 1 species
CCGGCAACCGGCGCACGGGUGAGUAACACGUAUGCAACCUGCCCGUCUCAGGGGGAGUAAUCGUCGGAAACGGCGUCUAAUACCCCGUAUGAAGCUGGACGGCAUCGUCUGGUUUUGAAAGAAUAUCGGAGACGGAUGGGCAUGCGGCGCAUUAGCUAGUUGGCGGGGUAACGGCCCACCAAGGCGACGAUGCGUAGGGGUUCUGAGAGGAAGGUCCCCCACACUGGUACUGAGACACGGACCAGACUCCUACGGGAGGCAGCAG